rnacentral:lncRNA from 1 species
GUGUUUCUUCUGCCGUAGUACUGGUGACUGCUGCAGUUGUGAUUUUCUUUGUUGUUCACAGGCGGGGGGUGAUAGCUUUAGCACUAUGCAGACGUAAGAACGUGUCGGAGAGUUCGGAUCAUGAUCAUCCUUAUAGUCAGACAUUAGAACCUUCUGGACGACUUGAAACCGACAAUCAUGUAUAUGAUAGCAUUGAC